rnacentral:rRNA from 1 species
UUUAACAUGAGAGUUUGAUCCUGGCUCAGGAUGAACGCUGGCGGCGUGCUUAACACAUGCAAGUCGAACGAAGCAACUUAUUACGAUCCCUUCGGGGUGACGAUUUGUUGACUGAGUGGCGGACGGGUGAGUAACGCGUGGGUAACCUACCUUGUACAGGGGGACAACAGUUGGAAACGACUGCUAAU